rnacentral:rRNA from 1 species
UACGUAGGGGGCAAGCGUUGUCCGGAUUUAUUGGGCGUAAAGAGCGUGUAGGCGGCCGCACAGGUCCGUUGUGAAAACUGGAGGCUUAACCUUCAGACGUCGAUGGAAACCGUGCGGCUAGAGUCCGGAAGAGGAGAAUGGAAUUCCUGGUGUAGCGGUGAAAUGCGCAGAUAUCAGGAAGAACACCCGUGGCUAAGGCGGUUCUCUAGUACGGUACUGACGCUGAGACGCGAAAGCGUGGGGAGCGAACAGGAUUAGAAACCCUGUAGUCC